GGAAUCUUGUUAAAGUGCAGACUUGGAUUCAGUAGGUCGAGACGAACCCGAGAUUCUGCAUUUUUGACAAGCUC
rnacentral:miRNA from 1 species